rnacentral:rRNA from 1 species
UGACGCUGGCGGCAGGCUAACACCAUGCAAGUCGAGCGGUAACAGGGGAAGCUUGCUUCCCGCUGACGAGCGGCAGGUGAGUAACGCGUAGGAAUCUACCCAGUAGCGGGGGAUAAGCCAGAGAAAUUUGGUCUAAUACCGCAUACGCCCUUCGGGGGAAAGCAGGGGAUCUUCGGACCUUGCACUAUUGGAUGAGCCUGCGUGAGAUUAGCUAGUUGGUAGGGUAAUGGCCUACCAAGGCAACGAUCUCUAGCUGGUCUGAGAGGAUGAUCAGCCACACUGGAACUGAGACACGGUCCAGACUCCUACGGGAGGCGGCAGUGGGGAAUAUUGCACAAUGGGCGCAAGCCUGAUGCAGCCAUGCCGCGUGUGUGAAGAAGGCCCCAGGGGUUGUAAAGCACUUUCAAGCAGUGAGGAAAGGUGCGUAGUUAUACCUGCGUACUGUGACGUUAACUGCAGAAGAAGC